AUGCCCAGAGAGAUUGGCAGGGUCUGAUCUGCAGCCUCCAUGGCAGCUGUUGAUCAGCCAUUGCCUCUCUUUCUCUCCU
rfam:Myotis brandtii contig178865, whole genome shotgun sequence.